CUUAUUCCCACCCUUCCUUUAAGGUAAUCUCUCAGGAUCAUUUUUUCUAGAUAAGCUGCAUUUCCUCACAGCUGGUGAAAUGGGGCCACUCUGGCUUCUCAGGACUGCCAGGCACAGAUAUGGGGGCAGAUACUUCCUUUGCCUAAACAGACUGAAUGAAAGGACGAUUCGUCAUGCACUGAUAAUUACGGCACAAAAGAAAUGUGACUACAUUUAAAGCUCCAUUUUUCUUUUUAAGGCCAGAAGCUUCCCAACCUCUUAUAAAAAUCCAUUCACCUGACGUUAAAAGCUUCAUUCGCUGUACGGAACCUCACUCUCUGACCCCAAGCGGAUAAUGGCAAGUUCUAAGAAAAUGAUGCAGCCGCAGCCGCAGCCACAGCGGAAGCCUUUGUUGUUCUCACUUACCCUUGCACGCAGACAUCUCUGAAAAGAGAGGCAGGUGCUAUUUGGUAAAAAGAAAAAGAAAAAAAAAUCUGGUACCCACAGUAAAUGCGGAUGGUAUUCUGAGCAUAUUUUCAUGUUUCCUCUUCUUUCUUUCCUAUUCUUUUGCAAAGGUAGUGUUAGAUAAGUUUGGAAUUGUGGAAUCUACAGCUCAACACUCACCCUUUUCCUGUACUGACCGACUCUACUAUUUUAAGGCUGUGCUCUUCGUUAUUAAUUCACGAUUAAACAGUUUGGAGCUGGAUUGCAGAUGAAAGUGUUGCAGCGCCUGCAUAUCAAUGCCAGCCACAAAUCAGCACCAACAAUUGUUCCAUCAUUAGCAAAGCCGGCGAGCCAGAGUGGCCUCAAUCUGCAGCCUGCUGGUGCUCUCCUCGGAUUUCUUUGACUAGACUGCAUCCCGUUACCUUCCACAAUCUGUUCUGUCUUAUCGGCACACGGACUGACAGACUUUUAAAUUCACAUUUAGAAAAAUCUGAAAGCAGUUUAGAAACAAAACAAAACAAAACAAACCCAACCCCACUGCUGGAGAGAGUAAUGCAUCAGCCACAUUGAUUUACACUACCAAUAAACAGUGUCCAGCCACUGCGAGCGAAUAAUAU
rnacentral:lncRNA from 1 species